ensembl:lncRNA
GAAAGACAAAGCAAAACCACGUAGCUGUGACUUCAAAGCGGCUGCAGGAAGGUUUAGCUUACACGUGAGACGUGUUCCAGCUUUGAUGCACAAACAGUUUGUCACCGUGAGAGUCAUCAACAGACAAAGUCAUCACAAAGGUCCUCAUCCGAAGCCUCAAGCAGCAGUUUGGAUAAACCAGUCAUUUUGGCAGCACGUGGCCUUGACAGAGCUGCAGUCAUCAAAGGUAGGCCUGCAGGAAUAAACCUUUCCCGAUGUCUGUUCGGUGGUGUAGCAGCCAGUAACUGGACUAAACACUCAUCAGAUAUAAGAAAAAAAGACUUCUUCGUUAGCUGUCCUAAGUUUGGAGCCAGAUGACACUGAUCACCUACAAAGCAAGACCGUGAUCAAAAUUACCAGAAAUGUCAGCUAACAUAGUAACCAACAAGAAUGCCACAGGAAUGAUAAUGAUAUUCUCCAAACUUCUGGAUUUCUGAGAAAGUGAUCUCGGCUGUACAGUUCAUGUGCUGGAGGAGGAAAAUAGUGGUGCUGUCAACGGCAUGGAAAGGACGAGGGCACAAUGGUAAAGUGCUGCCAGAGCGAUGGUGGCUGAGACGCAGCGGAGCGGAGGUAGAGACAAUUCAUAAUGGAUAUAAGGAAAUUUUUUCAAAAAAAGGAGCCACAUUCAGGUAAAAGUGUAAAAUCAAAUGAUCAGUCAAUAAAGGAUUAUGUUGGAUCAGUUUUUCAAUAUUUAUAUCUUUUAUUAGAUGUUCAUGUUGUUUGGUUAUUUGCCUUUUGGUUGAAAGUACACUGAGAGAGGACUUUUUGUUGGUGAUCUUAAUAGCAUUUUUUUCAUAUUAAUGUAAUUUUUUCAUCUAAUUGAAUACAAUCUAUUUGUGUAUGAUUGUCAGUCCAAAGAGGGAGAGAGGAAAGAGGGGAACAUGAGGAGAAAGUACAAGGUCAGGAAGAACCAGGUAAGAAAACAGACAGGGAACAGUGACAGGCAAAACAGAAACUGUUAAACUGACAAAGAGAAAAAACCUGAUUUUACUCAUACAGUCUGGAAGUUGUGUCCUCCCUAUAUUAAAGCUGCUAUACAGAAUCUGCAAAACAAACUGGGUUGAAACAUUUUUGACCCUCUUUAACAACAUUCCAACAUAACAUUAUCAUUGAUUGGGGAGAUUAAAAUUAAUGACAUAUUUUUAUGUGGUUCAGCCACAACUCUACUAACAUCUCAGCCAGUAAUAGUUAGGCCAACUCUUGGACCGCCCAGUUGUCUGUAUGACUGCAGUACGUGCACCACAUUUGCGCACUGAAUCAGAAAGUGACAAACAGCCCUGGUGGAGUGAGGAGCUGUAAAGAGAAGCAGAGUGCUCUGUUUAUAUUCUAAAAGUGUUUUAAGCUAGCUUGUUUCAAAGAUUCUGUACUGCAGCUUUAAAUGUUUUCCAAAAGCACACAUACACUUAUCAGUGUUUCUCAAACUUUUUACAGUGUGUACCAUUGGGAAAAUGUCAAGUUCUCCCAAGUACCACUAUGAAAGCAUGAAACUCAUAAAUCUUACAACACAAAAUUAGUCUUAUUGAAUUAGUCAAAUUAGUAUCGGCAGUAAAGAUUUUUUCAUAUAUUGUAUACAUUCUACCACAGGCAAAGUUGCCUCCAUUUUUAUAUUUUUUAAUUAAUAUUUUGUAAUAAUUUAUUUGUAAUAACUUAUGUUUUGGGAGUAUUUUUUUAUGUAUCUGUAUUAUAUUAUACAUACUCAUUAAAAGUGAAUCUCUGUCCAAAAUAUGCACUCAGUUUACUUUUUACUCACUAUGAGCAUCAUUCAUUAUUCUCCCCCAGUAAUUAAGGAUAGGAUAUGGUUUUUUUUUUUAUUCCAAUCCAUUCUUCUUUUGCAGCAUUUAAAUAACCUUUAUCAGAUUUGAUGGUUUUGUUACAGCCUUUUAAAAAGGUGUUUUGCUUUUCUUUCACAAAUGUGGGGAUUAAAUUGUGUUAAAAUGUACAAAACAGUGAUGUCAUGUUUUGUGACGAGGACCCAGGCACAGAGAGACUUGAUGAAUUUAAGAAUCUUAUGAUUUAAUAAAGAAAUUUACAGACUUGCACAGAGAUGGUAAAAUUAUGAUGACUGAUAACAGAGACGAAGACAACACACAGCGAGGACUGGGAGAAACAGGGGUUUAAAUGCACCAAGGAGACAGUCAUAGAGAACUCGGGACAACUGGAGACAUUUAAGUAUGCAGGGACUGACAGAGACGGGGAAGAAGUCUCAUCGUGAUGUGUAAAGUUUAUUUUGCCUGGCUGGGCAGCUCUCUGGGUGCUCAGCACCCCCAAAGCUCUGAUCCUAGAAUCGCCCCUGACUACAUCCAGGACAGAAACAACUGCAUUAUGCUGCUAACACAACUUUGGCUUUUUGCAAGCACCUGCACAGACAGCAUGCUAACGCUAAUCCAGCCAAGAACUCAGAAUGAUGUUAAAGCUGAGUGAAUGGCGACCCCAGCCCAGCAGCCAGACGCUAAAGUUUAACAGGUAACAAAAGCAGUGAUGAGCAUUCAGACUAUAGCCUCCAUUUCUACCUGCUCAUGUUUCUAGAUUAGAAUCACUGCGGCAGUCACUUUUAAGAAAAGUGUUCUGUGUAAUAAAUUACUGUUUUGAGUAACAAUAAGUGAUUAGUGAUAUUGAAAAUGGAAUCGGAAUUAUUCGAUUCUUAUCUAUUCCUGUCCCCACACAGUGCUGUUCAUUCUUUCUGGCCAGAUAGACUGUUUGUCCUUGUUAUGUUUAAUCUGUUUGUCUCCUUUGUUCAUUUAUUUUUUAGUCAAG